ensembl:snoRNA small nucleolar RNA SNORA55
GCACUCCAGCAAAAUCCUGCCCUUCUGUUUCAGUGGUGGGCUGGAGUAAACAUGGUGCCAUAGUAAUUCAAAGUAAAUCCAGAUGGGCUUCCCUCUUCAGUAGGGGCUUGUCUCUACAACUUUGACACAAUU